rnacentral:lncRNA from 1 species
CCCACAACCAUUCGAUGGAUAUUGUUACAAUUGGAAAUGCUCCAAUGUAGCCGCUGCCAAAAAGAAAUUAUGAAACUUAUUAGGAACUUAAUUAGUAGAAAAUCUUGGGGAAAAUGCUUCGAAAAGCAUAAAUUGUAUAUGAAAAGAAACAACCUUGUUUAAUCUUUUGCAAGCAUAGCUCAUAUAACGACUUUAAACAUUUAAGCAAAACAUGUUUCUUGCAAAAAUAUGAAAAGUUCCACCAAACAGUGCAGUUUACUGAUGUUAAAAGACACAUUCAAUCAAUUUCCCUAACUUCCAACAUUCAAUUUAAUGAAAUCACAGUCAUUAGCCUCCUACUCUUACAAUAGGAUAAGAAUUUCUAUUUAUUGUAUAUUUAACUGCAGUGCCAGACUCCAUUGUUUCAGAGAUUGUCCGCAAAAGUAAAACAGAUCAUUCUUGUUAAUUUCCCUGGAUGAUCAGUUUCUUUGGUAAAAUAACUCUAGCACUUGCAGCCCCUGGGACUUCUUAAAAGAGAAAAUACAUAAUGGUGAAGUUAGGACCAUAAAAAAUAAACUCUUGGAAUUGAGCAACAUCAUGACAACCACAUUGCUUUCCAUAACAAUGACUAGUGGCAUGAUCAAAACAAGAGCAUAGAAAACAAUCUCUCAGCCAUUUAUAAGUCAUCAAUCAGUGUGAAUAUAUGAGAUAUGAAGGAAGCAUGCACCUUUAAGAUAACAAAAACACAUAUAUCUUAAUAAAUACAAUAGUUCAUUCUCAUCAGUGUUUCAGAAACUAGCAUUAUCGAGAUUAUGCUCUCAAUCUCUGUGCUUAGUCAUCGACAUACAACCAUGCCAAAAGCUAGCCCUUCCCAACUAAGUCCAAACGGAUGCCAAAAAGUGAACAUUGUCCCACAGACAAAAAGUGAAUUGCUACCAAAGGUAAUCCACACCAAACAAUCAACACAUGAAAUACAGGACCUUUAGACAGAGAAAAUAGGGCUGAAGAAGAAAUUAAAAACCAUAGAAGCACCAAGUUCUUCUCCUAAUACUAAUAAUGGACCAAAACAACAUCACAAAACACUUAAUAUACAAUUAGAGGAAGAAAUCCAUACCAAUGACAAGCUAAAUACGACAUUUUUCUAGAAUAAAUAAUUCUGCAAACAAAAAAACACAUUAAUUAUCUGCAUUUUAAAUAAUCCUAAAAAUGAACAUAUAAUUUUCAUUUAUGUCAUAAAAAUAAUCCUAACAGUAAGUAAUAUUCCACUGAAACCCCAACCCUCUAUUCAAUUUUUUUUUUUCCUUGUAAGAAUUAUUUUCAACAUGGAACUUGAACUCUCGAAGAGAUAACAGGAAAAGACAUAGACGGCUGACUGAGUCUGACUGAGAGAGAAUUAAGAGUGUCAGAGAAAAAAGAAGAACAUGGCUUAGAAGUUAGAAUCAUCAUCCAUUUAUCUCAUUUAAUUGUCGGUGUAAAUGUCUUAAUAGAAGAAACAAAUAUUAUUUUGAAGGGUAAAUGUAAACAAAUUAAAAUAUUAGAUAAAAUUGUGUCACAUUUAUAUUAAGUGCGUUUAUUAAGAUUUAAGAGAGAGUUGCCAGGAUACAGCACUGGUCAGCUCCCAGUUAAACUUGCGAGUUUGGGUUCGAGUCCCAGUCCCACAGGGAGUGAAAGUAGCUAAUCACCCUAACCAGCUGAAAUAUCAAAACAUGUUUGUAUACGCCUGCACAUUACAAGUUAAUCAUCAGAAAAGGAGGGCGCUGCUGCGAGAAACAACACAUCAUGUACUGAUUAUAAAACAUGCAGAACUAAUGUAUUUUACCAACCACAAAACCUUUUUUUUUUUAGAGAUAAUCUCUCCAUAGCAACAAUAAAUAUGAAAAAAAAAAUUACCACAAAGUAGAACAGUCCCAUCUUUUUUUCCAAACAAAUACAACCAUUUCAGUUCAUAUCUAAUCUGAGAACCAUUCUACUUUCAAGUUUCAACCAAUGAAAUAACCAUAUUAUCAAUGAAAUAACCAUAUUAUAAAAAUAAUCAUCUUUUCUGGUUAAGUGAUUUCGUCAGCAAAUAAGAGAAAAUAGAAAUUCUGGAAUAUACCUAGGGUUUCUAGAUUUGGGAAUUUACCUAAUGAGAAAUCAGUCUCUCUGUUUCGAGAUUUGUAACUAUCAUGGCCGAGCGACCACGAUCACCUGAGAUAAUCGGAUUUUGCACCGGCGACGAUGCAAAUGUUUGGGUUUGACGAUAGACGAAGGAAUGUUAGGGCUUUGGGUGAUUUAAGGAUUUUAUUUAAUUCAAGUAAAGUGAAAAUAACUAAAGUAUCCCUAAGUUGGUUACGCAUUUUGAUGUCCAGAAUAGUUAAUUAAAUUUCUACUCGUGUAUUUAUGGUAUGCAUGAGUUACUUUCUCAACCGUUAGUGUGGAGACAAACGAAAGCAGGAUAAAGUUCG